rnacentral:rRNA from 1 species
AGUCUGCAACCCGACUCCGUGAAGCUGGAUUCGCUAGUAAUCGCGCAUCAGCCAUGGCGCGGUGAAUACGUUCCCGGGCCUUGUACACACCGCCCGUCAAGCCAUGGGAGCCGGGGGCACUUGAAGUACGCCGCCGCGAGGAGCGUCCUAGAGUGAAACUGGUGACUGGGGCUAAGUCGUAACAAGGUACC